CUCAUGACAACCGCCAACAGGCCCAGACCAGCGCGUUCAGCAUCCACUGUGGACCGCAGAUUGUGCCUACGGUACUGGCGGCCGUAGCCGUGACGGUGGCGGUGUGACCGUGGCGCUAUGGUAUGGCCGCGCCGCCGCAGUCACUGCACUGAGACCUACUAAGCCGGCGUGAAGGCGCCCUUGAAGCACGUCAAUGCGGGUCGCCAGCGCUUCCUUGGGCCCUGGCGUCCUGCCCGCCCUUCCGCCCACACCCUUCGCAAGCCACGCCACAUACGCUGGUCCGCUUAAUGAAUGUUUGGGCUAGGAUGCACUGUAGGCCUCAACCUCAAACUCUUUCGUCCCCCCUCCUCGCCGCCACAGCCGGUCGACCAAACUUGCGGGGCGAGUGGACUGCGCUGCGCGCCUAGACCGGCUCUGGGGUCCAACAACCAAUUCGCCUCAUGUUGUCCCGCUAGCUCCGCGCGGGCAGCGGCGCUUUGCGGCCGACGAAGAACUGCUCAGUGAUGACGCCGGUGGACGCCACACGCACCCACUGCCG
rnacentral:lncRNA from 1 species